UAGGGAAUAUUGGUCAAUGGAUGCAAGUCUGAACCAGCCAUGCCGCGUGCAGGAAGAAGGCCUUCUGGGUUGUAAACUGCUUUUGCCAGGGGAUAAAAAGACCGUGCGCGGUUAAUUGAAGGUACCUGGUGAAUAAGCCACGGCUAACUACGUGCCAGCAGCCGCGGUAAUACGUAGGUGGCAAGCGUUGUCCGGAUUUAUUGGGUUUAAAGGGUGCGUAGGCGGUCUUAUAAGUCAGUGCUGAAAUAUCCCGGCUUAACCGGGAGGGUGGCAUUGAUACUGUAGGACUUGAGUAAAGUUGAGGUUGGCGGAAUUGACGGUGUAGCGGUGAAAUGCUUAGAUAUCGUCAAGAACACCGAUAGUGAAGACAGCUAACUAAGCUUUAACUGACGCUGAGGCACGAAAGUGUGGGGAUCAAAC
rnacentral:rRNA from 1 species